CUACCCAACCAUAGUUUAUGUACUUAACCAAACCCUGUACCGUCUCUCAUUCAUUCAUUCCUUGUUCCCAAGAGUCAAAAAAAGAAAAAAAGAAUUCAAAACCCUAAUCUUCAAAAGUCGUCUCCUUCGCCUCUGCGGUUUCAACCUCGAUCUCCCAAUUGACAAAGGGAAGAUGAGUAGCCGUGCGAGCCGAACCCUCUAUGUGGGUAAUCUUCCAGCUGAUAUUCGUGAAAGAGAAGUGGAGGAUUUGUUUUACAAGUUUGGACGCAUAGCUCACAUUGAUCUGAAGGUCCCGCCAAGGCCCCCGGGUUAUGCAUUUGUUGAGUUUGAAGAUCCUCAAGAUGCUGAAGAUGCCAUUCGCAACCGUGAUGGCUACGAUUUUGAUGGGCAUCGGCUACGGGUGGAACUUGCACAUGGUGGCCGGGGACAUUCAUCAUCAAGAGAUCGCUAUAGUAGUUAUAGCAGUGGUCGGAGUGGACGUGGUGGAGUAUCCAGGCGCUCUGAAUUUCGUGUUCUUGUUAGUGGAUUGCCUCCUUCUGCUUCAUGGCAAGACCUUAAGGAUCACAUGCGACAAGCUGGGGAUGUUUGUUUUUCCCAAGUUUUCCGUGAUGGUAACGGCACAACAGGGAUUGUGGAUUAUGCAAACUAUGAAGACAUGAAGUAUGCACUAAAAAAACUUGAUGAUUCUGAGUUCCGGAAUGCAUUUUCUCGGGCAUAUGUUCGAGUUAGGGAAUAUGAUUCAAGGAGGGAUUCCUCUAGGAGCCCUAGUCGUGGUCGAUCUUACUCAAGAGGCAGGAGUUACAGCCGUAGUCGUAGCCAUAGUCGUAGUCGGGGCAGGAGCCUGAGCAAGUCUCCAAAAACCAAACCUUCGCGCCGCUCACCUGUAAAAUCUCGGUCGAGGUCUGCUUCUCGCUCUCGCUCUGCUUCAAAGCCGCGUUCUUUGUCUGGAUAUGGAUACAUGCAGCGAAGUGGGGAUUGGAUAUUAGGAUCUUGAUGGGAUAGUUCAGUUGCCUGCAACUCUUUUGGUUGUGGAGGUAUGCUGUUUUUUAGAUGGGCAACUUUGGAAACCUUGAUGGUGCCUCUGUUCUAAUGCUUUUAGCAUUGCAAAUGUCCAUGGGUGCUAGAUUGGGAACAAAGGAGAUCAUGGUUGCAAAAGUAAAGCUGGAUAUCUCUGAACUAAGUGCCAUUGGGAUUUGGAUAUCACCAUCAAUGAGCAAUAGGGACAAUUUCAUUAUCAUCUUCUGCUCCAACAUUUGCCAAGCUAAUAGGCGCACUAUCUGGCUUCUGUGGAUUUUUGUGGUACAGUAGGGAAAAAUUCUCCUCUCUGUCCACUGGUGUCUUAAAAAUACAUUGUGAUGCUUUCAUUAAGAUCACGAUCAAGGUCCAGAUCUCCAUUGCCUACGCGUCCAAAACGUAUGAGUAAAAGCCCAAAGAAGCGCAGUCCAAGCAGGAGCCCAAGCAGGAGCAGGAGCAGGAGCAAGAGUUUAUCCAGGUAAGAGAUAUGAUUGCUGCUGAUGUAAUUCCUGAAAGUUUGAUAAGGGUGAGGUUUUUUAACUUCAUCGGCAAAUCCUAGCAGUUGUAGGCCUAUUAUAUGAACAGACUUAUCAGACUGGAGUUGGAUUUUAAACUAUCAACAUGUUAUUUAAAUCCUUGUGAAUCCUUGAAUUGGAACUUAAACGUUUACCGUGUUGCUGUAUUGCACAAGAGAUUUGCCAAAUUCCAGCUUAACGUAUAUUUAUGGUGGUGGAUAUUGAUACUU